UUGGCUCAGGAUGAACGCUGGCGGCGUGCUUAACACAUGCAAGUCGAACGGAAAGGCCCUGCUUUUGUGGGGUGCUCGAGUGGCGAACGGGUGAGUAACACGUGAGUAACCUGCCCUUGACUUUGGGAUAACUUCAGGAAACUGGGGCUAAUACCGGAUAGGAGCUCCUGCUGCAUGGUGGGGGUUGGAAAGUUUCGGCGGUUGGGGAUGGACUCGCGGCUUAUCAGCUUGUUGGUGGGGUAGUGGCUUACCAAGGCUUUGACGGGUAGCCGGCCUGAGAGGGUGACCGGCCACAUUGGGACUGAGAUACGGCCCAGACUCCUACGGGAGGCAGCAGUGGGGAAUA
rnacentral:rRNA from 1 species